UACGAGUGCCCCAAGCGUUAUCCGGAAUUAUUGGGCGUAAAGGGUGUGCAGGCGGGGGAACAAGUGGUGUAUGAAAUCUCCCAGCUUAACUGGGAUAGGUUAUGCCAGACUGUUCUUCUAGAGGACGAGAGAGGGGGGUGGAAUUCCGGGUGUAGUGGUGAAAUGCGUAGAGAUCCGGAGGAACCCCAGAGGCGAAGGCGGCCCCCUGGCUCGUACCUGACGCUCAGCCACGAAAGCAUGGGGAGCGAACGGG
rnacentral:rRNA from 1 species